AUGGAGUCCGCUUGAGAGUCUCUUUUCCUCUGCCACUCCCCCUACUCAUGGCAAGCCUGAGAGCAACCGUGGGGGAGGUGGUGAUCUGACAGGAUCACUUUGUACCCAGGCACUCUGGAUCUGGCUGCCAGCCACCCUGCCCCUGCAGACCAUGGGAUGUGCGGGAUGUUGCCCUGGGGAAGGAAAUCUCUGGUCCUAAUGAAAGCUUACUCUGGAGCAAAGAAGGACUACAUGUUCUGUUGUCAUCCACUUCCAAGUGCAGACAGGAGUCCACGUGGAAGAGCAGGAGGGCUGUGAGGGACUGGAUUCUGUGUCCCUCAGUACACUGUGUCCCCUUCAUAUGCUGAAACCCUAACCCCCACUGUGAUGGUCUUAGGAGGUGAGGCCUUUGGGGUGAUUAGGUCAUGAGGCUUCGUGGAUAGGAAGAGACAUGAGAAUCUCUCUUCUCUUUCUCUCUCUCUCUUCCUCUCUCUCCCUGAUGGAACAAUAAGAGGGUGGCCAUCAGCAGACCAAGAAGAGUGCCCUCACCAGACACUGGAUCUGCUGGUACCUCAAUCAUGGACUUCCCAGGGGCGCCUGGGUGGCUCAGUCGUUAAGCGUUUGCCUUCGGCUCAGGUCAUGAUCCCAGGGUCCCGGGAUCGAGCCCCGCAUUGGGC